UACAGAGGGUGCGAGCGUUGUCCGGAAUUAUUGGGCGUAAAGGGCUCGUAGGCGGUUUGUCACGUCGGGAGUGAAAACUCGGGGCUUAACCCCGAGCCUGCUUCCGAUACGGGCAGACUAGAGGUAUGCAGGGGAGAACGGAAUUCCUGGUGUAGCGGUGAAAUGCGCAGAUAUCAGGAGGAACACCGGUGGCGAAGGCGGUUCUCUGGGCAUUACCUGACGCUGAGGAGCGAAAGCGUGGGGAGCGAACAGG
rnacentral:rRNA from 1 species